rnacentral:lncRNA from 1 species
AUAUUCUAUGAAAAAAAUAAUUACAGAGAUUUAAUUUUGCAUGACUGAUGAUGUGGGAAACGUUUUACACUGAAUUUACUGGUGCCAAAUGUUGUCUUUUUAUAUUACAUGCAUUGUUUUGAUUUCAUCUUUGUUUCUGCUUGAAUGUCUCACAUAGGACAAUUAGCAGCAAUGGUUCUCUAAACAAACAUUUCAUCCUUGUUUCUAAUAUGAUAUUUAUAAAAUUGAUUGACAUAUCAAUAAUAUUAUAUGGGAUUUCCUUCAAAUGUAAAUCUAAUCUUUUUGCUUAUUGCUGCUUUCUUAUCUGUGUUUUAACACUUGUAAGUAAAUUUUUAGUCUGUUGUCCUUAGAAACGACAUACUUGAAUUAUAAUUAUAUCUUAUCUCUUUGAAUUGAUGGAGAGGAUAUAUACUAUUUAAAACUUGACACAUAUUUAAUGAUAUCAAUACUGUACAAUAUCAAUACUGAAUAUUGUGGGCAGAAAAUAAAUAAAUGUUGGGUUGUUAUCAAGUAUACAUUUGCUUUAACAGGAAAUGCUUCUGUACAAACGAGUUGGACUACCCGAUUUCUACUGAAUCUCAACCCCCCUUCCUACUAACCCCAAUCCAUUUAGGGCUCUCAUUCCCUCCAGAACACAAUGGCAUGUGGUGCAGAAGGUUGCAGCAGGUAUGGGGGGAACUGGCAAAGAAGAAGAAGAGUGUGCUCCAACUUGUGCAAGUAGAAGCAUUUUCUGCUAAGACAAACACCAUUGGAUAAAACCCAGUAUCAUGAAACAGUUUCCCUCUGCACUUCUACACACAGCUUUCACUAUCAGGACACUUAUCUGAUAUUUCAGCUAUCCAACUGAUUCAGAUAGCUGAACAGCCAGAGUUUGCCCACUUCCUUGUGUGUGUUUUACUGGUUGGCUGCAGCAGUUUCAGGCAGAAACCAGGGAGAUUGAACAAAUCAUGGAUUAGAAAUAUUUCCAUAGGAGACAAUGGAAAUCGUCAGCUCAUCGAAUGAACAAUUUCCUAGGAAUGCAUUGUGUUUUGAAAGUGGAACCUGUGUGUAUAUGCUGGUUUUCUUUUUCCAAAAAUUAUUAGACAACAGCGCAUCUAUUAUUAAGAGUAUUAACUGGUUUUCCCACUUUACAAACAUUGCACAUAGUUGGGCAGGUUGAGAAGCUUUUGUGCAGGAUUACAGUUUUGGACGAUCAAUAAAUGUGACUUCACUUGUUAUGUGAAUGAGCUCUGAGUGUGUCAAUUCACCCCCCCCCCCCAUUUUCUGGUGCAGACAUGAAGAAGAGAGAGGAAAUGUUUGCUUUCACAUUUAACUAAACUCAGUUUAGUAUUAUGACUGAACUUGAGCAAACUGUGUUUGGUCUUAACUUUGGUUUCCCAAAACAAACCAACUUCAGAGGGUAGUUUACAAAGAUGCUUGUCUCAAUAAUCCACAGAUAGCAUUACUCAGUUUAGGGCUUAGAGGUAAUGCUGAACUGUGGUUAAAUGAAAAUGAAAACCUUGCUUUGUGGAUGCAACAGAGCUUGCGUUAUGUUGGUGCAUAUACUGAAUACAGUAAUUGUCUCAAAGCUUUUAUUCUGAGCUACUUGUUCUCCAGCAUCUCUGAUAAGAACGAUAAUGAUAAAGUAGAUAUAGUUUCUGGAUGUUGAAAGGAACUAAGCCUGAGCUCCCGUUGCUCGGUCCCUGCUCCUGCCAACCUAGCAGUUUGAAAGCACGUCAAAGUACAAGUAGAUAAAUAGGUACCACUCCGGCGGGAAGGUAAACGGCGUUUCCGUGCGCUGCUCUGGUUCGCCAGAAGCAGCUUAGUCAUGCUGGCCACAUGACCCGGAAGCUGUACGCCAGCUCCCUCGGCUAAUAAAGCGAGAUGAGCGCCACAACCCCAGAGUCAUUUGCAAAUGGACCUAAUGGUCAGGGGUCCCUUUACCUUUACCUAAGCCUGUAUUAUAGAGCUCAUUCCCAACUUAAAUGAGUAUCCUUCUUCACCUCAGAAUUUUGAGUUGAUUUUCAAACUGAUGAAAUAGUCCUCCACUAACAAGCAAGAUUCAUUGGCUUGAUGCCAUAUGUCAUUCAGGAUCUAGUAAUACUUGGUGCACUUUUAAAAUUUUAUUCUGUGCAGCUUACUAACUACCAAUUAGAGCUAUACUUCAGUUCUGCAAUCUUUGUAUGGCAGGGGUAUGUGUUUGGAUCAUUAGUUAUUCAGCUUGAGUCUGCUAUUCUACCUUUAGGUUUUUCUUUUUUUAAAAAAAAAAAAACCUAACUGGGGAUUUCAUCAUCCCAUAAAAAUCUCAAUUCUUAUAUGUCUUGUUAGUU